rnacentral:tRNA from 1 species
UGAAGCCUGGCCCACUGAGGCCGGGGCCGCUAGAGCCAGCCCUGGGUGCGGGCGCGCCGUACGGCCUCGA